AUUGAACGCUGGCGGCAUGCCUUACACAUGCAAGUCGAACGGCAGCACGGGAGCUUGCUCCUGGUGGCGAGUGGCGAACGGGUGAGUAAUAUAUCGGAACGUACCCUAGAGUGGGGAGUAACGCAGCGAAAGUUGCGCUAAUACCGCAUACGAUCUACGGAUGAAAGUAGGGGGAGUCGCAAGACCUCAUGCUCAUGGAGCGGCCGAUAUCUGAUUAGCUAGUUGGUGGGGUAAAGGCCUACCAAGGCUUCGAUCAGUAGCUGGUCUGAGAGGACGACCAGCCACACUGGAACUGAGACACGGUCCAGACUCCUACGGGAGGCAGCAGUGGGGAAUUUUGGACAAUGGGCGAAAGACCUGAUCCAGCAAUGCCGCGUGAGUGAAGAAGGCC
rnacentral:rRNA from 1 species